UACGUAGGGAGCAAGCGUUAUCCGGAAUGAUUGGGCGUAAAGCGUCCGCAGGUGGCUGUGUAAGUCUGCUGUCAAAGAGCAAAGCUCAACUUUGUAAAGGCAGUGGAAACUACACGGCUAGAGUGCGUUCGGGGCAGAGGGAAUUCCUGGUGUAGCGGUGAAAUGCGUAGAGAUCAGGAAGAACACCGGUGGCGAAGGCGCUCUGCUAGGCCGCAACUGACACUGAGGGACGAAAGCUAGGGGAGCGAAUGGG
rnacentral:rRNA from 1 species